UACAGAGGGGCAAGCGUUAUCGGAAUUAUUGGGUCGUAAAGGGCGCGUAGGUACGGCUUUUCAAGUGACGGGAUUGAAAUCCCUCGGCUUAACCGAGGAACUGCCUGUCGAGACCUGGGAGGCUUGAGACCGGGAGAGGUGGAGUGGAAUUCCAGUGUAGCGGUGAAAUGCGUAGAUAUUGGGAGAACACCAGUGGCGAAGGCGGCUCAACUGGACCGGUACUGAACGCUGAUGCGCGAAAGCGUGGGGAAGCAACAAGGG
rnacentral:rRNA from 1 species